CUACGGGACGCUGCAGUAAGGAAUAUUGCGCAAUGGAGGCAACUCUGACGCAGCCAUGCCGCGUGCAGGACUGAAGGCCUUAUGGGUCGUAAACUGCUUUUAUUUAGGAAUAAACUUUCGUACGUGUACGAGACUGAAGGUACUAAAUGAAUAAGCACCGGCUAACGCCGUGCCAGCAGCCGCGGUAAUACGGAGGGUGCAAGCGUUAUCCGGAUUUAUUGGGUUUAAAGGGUGCGCAGGCGGACUAUUAAGUCAGAGGUGAAAUCCCGGAGCUCAACUUCGGAACUGCCUUUGAUACUGGUAGUCUUGAAUACGGUUGAAGUAGGCGGAAUGUAGCAUGUAGCGGUGAAAUGCAUAGAGAUGCUACAGAACACCGAUCGCGAAGGCAGCUUACUAAGCCGAUAUUGACGCUCAGGCACGAAGGCGUGGGGAGCGAACAGGAUUAGAUACCCCAGUAGUC
rnacentral:rRNA from 1 species